rnacentral:rRNA from 1 species
GGACGAACGCUGGCGGCGUGCUUAACACAUGCAAGUCGAACGGAAAGGCCCUGCUUUUGUGGGGUGCUCGAGUGGCGAGCGGGUGAGUAACACGUGAGUAACCUGCCCUUGACUUUGGGAUAACUUCAGGAAACUGGGGCUAAUACCGGAUAGGAGCUCCUGCUGCAUGGUGGGGGUUGGAAAGUUUCGGCGGUUGGGGAUGGACUCGCGGCUUAUCAGCUUGUUGGUGGGGUAGUGGCUUACCAAGGCUUUGACGGGUAGCCGGCCUGAGAGGGUGACCGGCCACAUUGGGACUGAGAUACGGCCCAGACUCCUACGGGAGGCAGCAGUGGGGAAUAUUGCACAAUGGGCGGAAGCCUGAUGCAGCAACGCCGCGUGCGGGACGACGGCCUUCGGGUUGUAAACCGCUUUCGCCUGUGACGAAGCGUGAGUGACGGUAAUGGGUAAAGAAGCACCGGCUAACUACGUG